UACGUAGGGUGCAAGCGUUGUCCGGAUUUAUUGGGCGUAAAGAGCGUGUAGGCGGCCGUACAGGUCAGCUGUGAAAACUCGAGGCUCAACCUCGAGACGUCGGUUGAAACCGUACGGCUAGAGUCCGGAAGAGGAGAGUGGAAUUCCCGGUGUAGCGGUGAAAUGCGCAGAUAUCGGGAAGAACACCCGUGGCGAAGGCGGCUCUGGGCUGGAAUUGACGCUGAGGAGCGAAAGUGUGGGUAGCAAACAGG
rnacentral:rRNA from 1 species